UAUUCUCCGGAAUUGGAGGUUCUCAAUCGCUGGCAUUCGGUACCCCUCGCAGAUUAUCAUAAUACUUAUCCGAUGUUUGACGGAAAGGGCCGAGAAUGUGCGAUUGAAUCGCUGGGUAGUAUUGAUUUCCAGUAACAAUGGCGUCGAAUGAGAAAGAAAACGAUCGUUAUCUGUCUGACAUCGAAAUUGACAAAUUAAGUGUUGCACAAUUGAAGGAUUAUUUACGAUUUCAUAAUCAUUAUGUGUCAGGGAAUAAGAAUGAACUUGUCUUGAGGACAAAAGGCGUACAAAAGCUAGGAUUAAAUGAUCGACAGCUGCACAGGAAUGCGGAAGUAAAUUAUGAAAAAAGGAAAACAGAAAAACUUUUUACGCCACUCGGUGAAAAGCUGCCACAUCCAGAUGUAUUAAAAACGUUGAGUAGUGACUUAAUGGACUUUCCUACAUUAAUAGAUAGUGACAUCUACAAUUAUUUUGUGCUGAAAAUGAACACACAAAAACAAUUGAGACCAAAAAAUUGUAUUAUGUUUACAGACAUAAACACAGUAUUUUGUACCAUGACAUAAGUGACAAAUGGGAACAUUGUUUUGUUAAAUGCAAAGUAUUACCAUCUCUACCGAGUGCAAAUGUGAAAGAAAACCCAGAUCACAGUGUGUGGCUCUGUCUGUCAAAGGUCACUGGACAGGUUCAUUCAGCGGAAUGUAAUUGCACAGCCGGGAGCGGAGAAGCAUGUAUCCAUAUUGGUGCAUUUAUGUAUGCCCUUUCUGAUCUCACUGCUAAAAAGAAGGACGGCACUCUAAGAUCAACCUCAAAAAAAUGCGUGUGGGACAGAUUUAAUAAUCCCCGGAAAAGAAAGCGAACGCCUAAAAAGUCUAGCGAAUUUACAUUUCGGAAACAUACCUUUGAGUCAAAAUUAGAGCCAGUCGAAAAUAACACCAGAAAAGAACUUCUUGCGAUUUCUGUAAAUGAGAACAGUUUCCGUUCAAAACUCGAAAAUAUGCAACCCAACAGCUGGAUGGCUUUUGAACUUUGUAGAAGAGAAGGAAGAGGUGAAAUUACCAAAGUUUAUAGAAAUUGGAUAUAACUUUAGUGAUAGCGUAGAUCUGAAUAGUGAAACUGUGAAGGAUAAAAUGUCGAAAAUGAUGGAUAUGCUACAAAUGGAUGAACUUGAAUGCCAAAGUAUUGAAAAAUUAACCAGAGGUCAGGGAAAGAACGUACUUUGGGAAGAUGAAAGAAAAUUACGUGUAACUGCAUCCAAUUUUGGUGAAGUAAUUUUACUGAAACAAGAGACUGAAAGAUUUAAAAGAAAUUGAGUGCAAUCUUUAAAGAAUAGUAACAAAUAUGAAUUUAAGAUCACAAUUGUGAAUUUCUCGCAAGCUUACCCUUGCUCCUAGAAUAUGUUUUUAUAAUUUUGAUGUCUCACUUUUCUCUAGAGAUUAACCCUUUACCACUUAGAUAUGUAUUUUCAAGCUUUUGUAGUUCCUUAAAAAGUUAAAUGUAAUAAAGUACCUUUAUUACUAAAUUUAAGUUUUAAAGGCUUCAUUUCCAACCCUUAAAUACUGAUGAGCAGCAAACAGUAUAAAACCUGAACAGACUGCGAGUUACUAGCAUGCUGUUCUGGUUUUAUGCUGUUUUCACUGUGCUUCCAAGUGGAAUAGGGUUAAAUAACAAAAGUUAACGCCAGAUCAGAAAAUAAUUUAAGUAACAACAGUACAGGACAUCAUUGAGGUCCCUCCUUUUUUAUGUUUCAAUAGUCAUUUAGCUCUACAAAGCAUAUAAAUAUUGUACAUAAAAGUGUAUGAAUGUAUAAAUAUUUAUCAACUGUUCAUAUUAUGAAUUUUACAGUAGUACAUGUAGAAUGCUUUUCAACGAUUUGUGUACGGUUCAUUAAUACCAUCACAACGUGAUUGUCAAUUGUUAUUCCGCUAAAUUGAUUUGCUCUUAAAAUGAUAAAUCAUAAAAAGAA